CGACUUUAUUGUGUUGAGCAGCUGAUAUACAUUCCAAAAGGAUUUACUGAAGAACAGUUGCUUCUGGCUUUAAGAUGAAUCAUAAUUGAUCCCACCAGGAUAACUCAACCAAUCUCUGAGCAAAAUAUAAUUAUGGUACUCUGGAGGAUAAUAGAACUAAUUGGACAAAGACAUCACAAUAGACAGAAGCACUCCAGAAAGCUUGGUUCUGUGGCUAGGUCACUGGAAUGGGCAUCAGGAGAUGUGCAUUCUAUUCUGGUCACUGCUAUGAUCUUGUGCAAGUCACUUCAUUUCUGUGUGUCUCUGUUCUCCCUCUUAUCUGCCUCUGUUUAGAUUCUAAGCUCUUUGGGGCAAAGACUGUCUCUUACCCUGUGUUGUACAGCUCCUGGCACGAUAGAGCCUGAAGCUCAGUUAGAGCAUCUAAGCACUAUUGUUAUAGUACUAUUUGCCCUUCUGCUGCGUGGUAGCAGAUGUCAGGUUUUGUCGUCAGCUUUCUGUUGGAGGAAAAAACCCUGGACAAGGAGUCUGGGUAUACUCUGUACAGUUUGUUUUCUUUACACGUAUAUACAUAAGUCCUGGAACUGAGGUGGCCACAAAUGGCCCACAGGUCUUCUUGAAGGGAUCUCAGCCCAAACACCAAUGUCUGGAUCCCAGGAUGCAACUCUGCCACAGUAAUUGACAGCAAACUCUCCUGCUUGGCACGGAGCCCUU